GACGAACCGUGCGAACGUUAUUCGGAAUCACUGGGCUUAAAGGGCGCGUAGGCGGGUUCUCAAGUCAGGGGUGAAAUCCCGCGGCUCAACCGUGGAAGUGCCUUUGAUACUGGGGACCUCGAGGGAGGUAGGGGCGUGCGGAACUUCCGGUGGAGCGGUGAAAUGUGUAGAUAUCGGAAGGAACACCGGUGGCGAAAGCGGCGCGCUGGACCUCUUCUGACGCCGAGGCGCGAAAGCCAGGGGAGCAAACGGG
rnacentral:rRNA from 1 species